rnacentral:rRNA from 1 species
CAGUAGCCGCGGUAAUACGUAGGGUGCAAGCGUUAAUCGGAAUUACUGGGCGUAAAGCGUGCGCAGACGGUUAUAUAAGACAGAUGUGAAAUCCCCGGGCUCAACCUGGGAACUGCAUUUGUGACUGUAUAGCUAGAGUACGGCAGAGGGGGAUGGAAUUCCGCGUGUAGCAGUGAAAUGCGUAGAUAUGCGGAGGAACACCGAUGGCGAAGGCAAUCCCCUGGGCCUGUACUGACGCUCAUGCACGAAAGCGUGGGGAGCAAACAGGAUUAGAUACCCGCGUAGUCCCUGUCUCUUAUAC